rnacentral:rRNA from 1 species
UACGUAGGGGGCUAGCGUUGUCCGGAAUCAUUGAGCGUAAAGAGCGUGUAGGCGGCCCGGUAAGUCCGCUGUGAAAGUCGGGGGCUCAACCCUCGAAUGCCGGUGGAUACUGUCGGGCUAGAGUGCGGAAGAGGCGAGUGGAAUUCCUGGUGUAGCGGUGAAAUGCGCAGAUAUCAGGAGGAACACCGAUUGCGAAGGCAGCUCGCUGGGACGUCACUGACGCUGAGACGCGAAAGCGUGGGGAGCAAACAGG